UCUAUCGAUGCCAUUUCCGAUUUGCUUGCCCCACCCGCUAAGCGACGGCUCCCGCAGCAUUUCUGUCGAAGAAACACGUGUUUAAUGAAAGUUAUUAUAAAAUUGUGAAAGAUUGAUAAAAAGUUAUCGUGCUUUAAAAACAGAAAUGGAUUAAAAGAAGAAUGGAUCUUGAACCGAACAACAGGAUCAAGCAAGUUUCUUUGCACUAAAAUUUACAUUAUAUAUCUUUUUAAAAUAAAAGAAAUAUAAAUACAUAUAAAAUCACAAGUGUUCUCUACUCUUGACGAGAAUUUCAUAUUCCAGUGUACCUGACAGUCCGAUGCAGUUAAAAUGGUACCGGAACACGGGAGCGUCACUGGAAGACACCGCCUACACGGAGCGACAGUUCUGCUGCGGAUAAAAUGCAACGCGGUGCAAAAUAAGGAAGUCCAAUAAUGUUCUCGAUAUUUCAAAAAGAAAUAUUCGCUUAACGUUUAGCGCAAUGGCUCUUUUCAUUGUAAAAGACAACGCUAAAAAUGAUCGACUUUCACAAAACUAGAACCAUCAAAUUUCCUCUUCAACGCACUGACAUGCUCCAGGACACGCGCCCGUCGCGGCCGUCCCAGCGGGCCGCAAGCCACCGCAAUCACUGCGAUCCAGACAUCCUACGUUACUUUGACAAUUACACGACGGUAUGCGCGUCUCGGAACAACCGCCUGGUGCACGACUGUUUCCUGCACGAUAAUAUCGCAAAGUAAUAACAUUUUUGAGAUACGGAUUGCAAAUUAAAAAGUUGUUGGAAACAAAUUUGGGAUUGAAUUUUUUUAAUGAUUUUGUAAGUACUUAAAGUAU